UGCAGAGGCUACACUAGCACUGAUUAUGAUCGUCUCAGAUCUCAGAAGCUAAGCAGGGCUAGGCCUGGUUAGCACUUGGAUGGGAGACUGCUGGGAAUACCAGCUGCCACAGUGA
rnacentral:rRNA from 1 species